rnacentral:lncRNA from 1 species
GGAUAGUUAAUAUAUGACAUUUUUGCUUUGUCUGCACAUAAUGGAUAGAGUAAAUAUCUCAAAAGCACACUGUUAAGCUUUGCAAAUGAAAAUAUUUUCUAAACCGCACAUCUAGGGGAAGAAAGCUACGGUUUUGGUGGCGGUAGAACCCUAAAUCAAUUGACAUGUAUUGUUAAUAACUGCAACUUAAGAUUUUCUUCUGCAGAUGGAUCCAUCCUCAACAGAGGGCAGUAGAGGAUGAAAAUGUAACUUGAUCUAGUCACAUUGUUGUAGUCAGACUAAUUCUCUAAAAUUCUUUUAACAGGCUUUAAAAUGUACCCUUUUAUCUUGAAAAAUGAGGAAGCAGCACUGCUGGCCAUCUGGGAGACACACUGCCAACAUGGAGAUGUUAGAAUCCUUCUACAUCAUUUACUUGACCAAUGCAGUACCAAGCUGUGCUGGAUGGUUGUGUUGCAAAGUUUAGCAUCAAGAAGGAAAAUAUCCUCAGAGGAGGUUGACAAACAGGUGGGAAAAUACAAAGAUGCCAAGAGAUCAGAGAUCCAGGCCCAGUGGAUCUCUGGGGAAGUGAUCGGUAGGGUCUCUGCAGGAACUUCCCCACUGCUGCACCUACCUCAGAAGAUCCCCUGGAUAAAGGGAGGUGCGAUAGCUUAUCCCUGGCUGUUACAACAACUGUUUGCUAGAACUGUACAGAGUGAGUCUGGAACAAAGAAGCUCAACAGACAUCUUCAUAAAAUUAUAAAGAUGAAAAGCCUGGAAAGGACCUCCAGAGAUCAUCUUGUCCCACAGCUUCCCACUGAGCCGGGAUGAAGUACCACCACCCCCUCCUUGUAAGGUGUUGGCCUAACCUGUUCCCAGAACCACCACUGAAGGGGAUAAACACGGACAGAAAGCCUAACCUUUAUAGUUCUUCCCAAAGUGCAGCUUAAAUGUUCUUUGCUGCAAAUUAGGUUGAUUUAUUUUUCUCCUUCUCAGUGGCUGUGGAGAACAAAUGAUGACUGUCCUCUUUAAAACAGUUGUUUACAUAUUGAAAAACUUAUACUUUUCCCCCAUAGUCUUUUUUCUCUAGACUAAACAAACUCAGUUUCUUCAACAUUUCCUCAUCACUCAUGCUUUAUAAACCUUUUUUUCAUUCCUGUUGCUUUCUUCUGGACUGUCUCCAAUUUGUCUAUAUCCUCAAUUCUGUUGGGCCAUGCUUGGCUACAGCUGACAAUCUGUCCCUAAGAAAAGUAUCACACUUUUGACUGAGACUUUAGAGAUCUGUUUCCAGAUUCAGCAUUUUUCUGUGGUAGACAUAAGCAUUUUAGCUUCUAUUAAUAUCAAUAAAUAUAUAAAAUAAA